CUAAAAGUCACUAGAUGACAUCAUAAUGGUAAAUUCACUGAUCUAUAUAAAGAUGAAUAUAGAUCAGUCGGCAAGAUGAGAACUGGGAUAAGGUGCCCUGACCUAGUUGUGAGAUGCCUCAUGGAAUCACGGGUCAUUUUAUCACUCGUUUUUCAUCACCACUGUCAGGUCUCACCGGGAAAGAGAACAGCUUGACCAUUGUCCUUGACUUCAAAGAGGAAGGAUAUCCUGGUUACCAGCUUGCAGGCCUACUGUUACCACCAGAGAUCUCCUGCACUGCUGCGUGUGCUGGCUCGCUCUCGCCCCUGCAACCGCAGCAUCUCCAGCACGCUUCUAGCGUAGGCGUCCCGCAGGUUCACCCCUAUCGCCGACAUAUCC